rnacentral:RNase_P_RNA from 1 species
CCAGGGGGCCGGGCAGCUGCGUGCCGUAAGGUACGAGGAAAGUCCGGGCUCCACGAAACAAGGGUGGCGGGUAACGCCCGCCCGGCGCAAGCCGAGGGAAAGUGCCACAGAGAGUAUACCGCCGAUGACCUGUUCGCAGGCUCAGGCAAGGGUGAAAGGGUGCGGUAAGAGCGCACCGGGGCUUCGGCAACGCGGCCCGCAUGGCAAACCCCACCCGGAGCAAGGCCGAAUAGGGGCGGCGCGCUGGAGACAGCUGGUGCGUUUCGCAUCGACCGCCCGGGUUGGCUGCUGGAGCCGCGGAGCAAUCCGUGGCCUAGACGAAUGGCUGCCUCUGCGCGGCUGGUGUGCAAGCAUACCGCGUGCAGGACAGAACCCGGCUUACAGGCCCCCUGGCAUA